rnacentral:rRNA from 1 species
AGUGAACGCUGGCGGUAGGCCUAACACAUGCAAGUCGAACGGCAGCACAGGAGAGCUUGCUCUCUGGGUGGCGAGUGGCGGACGGGUGAGGAAUACAUCGGAAUCUACUUUUACGUGGGGGAUAACGUAGGGAAACUUACACUAAUACCGCAUACGACCUACGGGUGAAAGCAGGGGACCUUCGGGCCUUGCGCGAUUGAAUGAGCCGAUGUCGGAUUAGCUAGUUGGCGGGGUAAAGGCCCACCAAGGCGACGAUCCGUAGCUGGUCUGAGAGGAUGAUCAGCCGCACUGGAACUGAGACACGGUCCAGACUCCUACGGGAGGCAGCAGUGGGGAAUAUUGGACAAUGGGCGCAAGCCUGAUCCAGCCAUACCGCGUGGGUGAAGAAGGCCUUCGGGUUGUAAAGCCCUUUUGUUGGGAAAGAAAUCCAGCUGGCUAAUACCCGGUUGGGAUGACGGUACCCAAAGAAUAAGCACCGGCUAACUUCGUGCCAGCCGCCGCUGUAA